ACUAUUCCCUCUUUCAUUCAACUUUUCCUCUCCUCCUCCCACCUCUCCACCCCCUUUUUCCCACUUUAUUCUUUCCUUAUGUCUCAACCUCCAUUUUACACACACCACACACACUCCCUCUCUCUCUGUGUUUACUUUUUCUACAUACAUAUCAGAAGGACACAAAGUGUGCCCUUUUCAAAGGCAAUCAUGUGUGUUUGGAUUGACAUCUUGUCCUCUUUUCCACACCCAAACUAGAAACUGGAGAGAAGAAGAAGAAGAGUGUCUACAAUCCUCAUGGGCAGAAGAACUAUCAUCACUUGUCUUUCAUUCAUUCAUCUUGCUGCUGUUCUAGGCCUACCAGGUUCAGUGGAAGCAACUAGUCACGUAAAGCUACCGCACCAUGACAACAGAACAAUUCAAGAAACUACCUUGAUUUCCACUAGGCAGAUGGAUGUCACAACCCCAAUGACAACAGUUCCAACAACUCUUCCCUCCACUCCAACUACAACAACUCCAAUGCUAAACCCGACGGAAUCUGACCCGGAUUCUCCAAGGAUCAUGAGUCCAGUUAUGACUCCACCAGCAGCAAACUCACCGGCCGGGAGCUGGUGUGUGGCCACCCAAUCUGCAUCGCAAAACGCAUUGCAGUUAGCGUUGGACUAUGCCUGCGGCCAUGGUGGGGCUGACUGCUCAGCCAUUCAGCCGGGCGGUAGCUGCUACAUGCCGGCCACGGUUCGUGAUCACGCCUCAUACGCCUUCAAUAGUUACUAUCAGAAGAAUCCAAUCCCUACCAGCUGCAAUUUUGGUGGCUCAGCGGUUACCACCAGCACGGAUCCCAGUUAUGGUACAUGCCAAUAUCCAUCCACUAGCACAACAUCAUCUGUGUUGAAUACGACGAAUUCAAGUGGAUCCCGGGUUUUCGGAGCUGGACCGCCGGUCACCCCUUCUCCUACAGCAGCUGCAAUGUCAAGUAGCAUUCCUUAUUUUCAACAUAUCUUGGUGCCUCUGAUCAUUAUAUUAGACAAUCCCAGAUGACAGAGAUUGAAUGUCUGGCUGUAUUCACAGUUCUUGGCUCUAAUUUUAUACACAAUGACACUUAUAUUGAGUGUGGAAAGAGCUUUUUAUUCACAAGAUUGUGAAGAGUUGAGUGUUGAGUGGCAUCGAACAGCCAUACAUGAACAGGGUUGAUAUCAAGUCGGCGCUGUUUGCAAGUGACAUCUUUCCAAUUGCAAAUCACCCCAAUGAAAUGUUUUAAGCGAUUGGAGCGGAUACGUGUUUGUUUAUAUCAAAUCAUUAUAAUCUCAAUCAUUACUUUCCCAAAUUAUAAUGGGCUCUUUAGAAAUUUGCAUA